rnacentral:rRNA from 1 species
ACUCCUACGGGAGGCAGCAGUAGAGAAUCUUGCACAAUGGGCGAAAGCCUGAUGCAGCCACGCCGCGUGGAGGAAGAAGGCCUUCGGGUUGUAAACUCCUUUCAGCAGGGAAGAAGCGCAAGUGACGGUACCUGCACAAGAAGGUCCGGCCAACUACGUGCCAGCAGCCGCGGUAAUACGUAGGGACCAAGCGUUGUCCGGAAUUAUUGGGCGUAAAGCGCGUGUAGGCGGCCCGUUAAGUCGGCUGUGAAAUCCUGGGGCUCAACCCCAGAACUGCAGUCGAUACUGGCGGGCUUGAGGUAGGUAGAGGAGAGUGGAAUUCCGGUGUAGCGGUGGAAUGCGCAGAUAUCGGGAGGAACACCGAUGGCGAAGGCAGCUCUCUGGGCCUUACCUGACGCUGAGACGCGAAAGCAUGGGUAGCAAACAGGAUUAGAUACCCUGGUAGGCUCUGCU